ensembl:lncRNA
GAGAAAAUCGAAAGAGAAUCUGUGAUGGAUUCAGCAGAGAGGAAGAACAACUUACAACAUCUUCUGAGAGAAGAGAUGGAAAUGCACCUCAAAGAGGGCCGAACCAGUGUGGAGAGGAACCAGGAGAGGGUCAAGCGCAUUAAGCAGCUCAGAGAGGAACUGUACAAAGAGGAGAAAACACAAAAGGAUUCUCUUGAAGAAUCACAACAAUCAGGACAAGACUGUAGUCCAGAGGAAUACUCCAAACUCCAGGAGCAGAUGAGGAAGAUGAAAGAAGAUCAUGAGAGAGUGAUACAGGAGGAACUGCUAAAGAUGGAACGUGAACUGCAGGAAGAGCAGCCAGAAGGGCUGGAGGAUGAAGUGAUGUACAUGAGAAGAGAGAGGCAGAUCCUGGUGCUGCAGAUCGAGGCCCUGCGCAGAGAGAACCAGC